AUGGCCGCCUCGGUGUGGAGCUCCACAGUUGUUUUACUGUUUUUGUUAGUUUGUCCUGUCUUUAGUCAUAUGCCUACAAUCAGUUUUACCAGGGAAGGACUGCUGAACUUUCGGCAGUACACGCCACCCAGUAUUUUACCGGUUUUUGAUUAUUCUGACGUUUUGCUGGACAUUGUAGUUGGAGGUGCAGCAGCGCUGCUCAAGCUCUCCAAGACGCGCAAGCGUGGAAAGCGAGCCGGCGUGCUAGUAAAGCUCAGAAAGCACGUCUUUAGAACAGCGCUGCCUAGUAUCCAUCUGGGAAAUCUCCGCUCCCUACCCAACAAAAUGAACGAACUUCUCCUCAUGUCCCAAAAAAACAAGGACUUCUUAAACUCUGCUGCUCUGUGUUUCAUGGAAACUUGGCUGAAUAAAGCCAUUCUGGACAGCACGCUACAUCUGCCGGGCUUCCAGCUGUUCAGAGCGGAUCGCGACACAGAAUCAGCGGGGAAAUCACGUGGCGGUGGGACAUGCUUCUGCAUCAACGAAAGGUGGUGUUUAGAUGCAACAGCGUUGAAGAUGUGCUGUCCCAAUCUAGAAGCGCUCUUCAUCAAUUGUAAGCCUUUCUACUCACUGUGGGAGUUUUCCUCGUUCAUUCUCUUAAGUGUUUACAUUCCACCGCAAGCGUGUGUGAACGCAGCGCUGCAACAGCUGGGCGAUCAGAUCACAGACACAGAGCAACAACACCCGGACUCUGUUAUAAUCAUUCUCGGGGACUUAAAUAAAGCAAAUCUCUCCCGUGAACUCCCAAAAUACAGACAGCACGUUACAUGUCCUACCAGAAACAGUAAUACACUGGACCACUGUUACACCACAAUAAAGGAUGCAUAUCACUCUGUCCUACGGGCAGCCUUGGGGCUCUCUGAUCACUGUCUGGUUCAUCUUAUACCGACCUACAAGCAGAAACUGAAAUCAGCUAAACCUGUGAUAAGGACUGUUAAAAGAUGGACUGAGGAAGCAGAGCAGGACUUACAAGCCUGCUUUGAGUGCACUGAUUGGGGUGUUUUUGAGGCUGCUGCUACCAGUCUAGAUGAGCUCACAGACUCUGUAACAUCAUAUAUCAGUUUCUGUAAGGAUAUGUGCAUCCCUACGAGGACUCAUUUAACAUACAACAACGACAAACCGUGGUUCACUGCAAAACUCAGACAGCUUCGUCAGGCCAAAGAAGACUCCUACAGGAAUGGGGACAGAGUCUUGUAUAAACAAGCCAAAAACACACUGGCAAAGGAGAUCAGAGUGGCUAAGAGAAACUGCUCUGAAAAGCUGAAGAAACAGUUUUCAGCCAAUGACCCAGCAUCAGUGUGGAAAGGCCUGAAAGAUAUCACCAAUUACAAGACACCAUCCCCCAGCACUGCGUUGAAUCAGCAACUGGCCAACGAUUUGAAUGAGUUUUAUUGCAGGUUUGAAAAACCCUGUCUCACACCCCACACCAAUUCUGACCUCAAGUAA
rnacentral:lncRNA from 1 species